CCUGGUUGAUCCUGCCAGUAGUCAUAUGCUUGUCUCAAAGAUUAAGCCAUGCAUGUGUAAGUAUGAACUAAUUCAGACUGUGAAACUGCAAAUCGCUUAUUAAAUUAGUUAUAGUUUGUUUGAUGGUACCUGCUACUCGGAUAACCGUAGUAAUUCUAGAGCUAAUACGUGCAACAAACCCCGACUUCUGGAAGGGAUGCAUUUAUUAUAUAAAAGGUCGACACAAGCUCUGCUCGUUGCUGCUAUUAUUCAUGAUAACUUGAUGGAUCGCACGACCCUCGUGCCGGCGAUGCAUCAUUCAAAUUUCUGCCCUAUCAACUUUCGAUGGUAGGAUAAUGGCCUACCAUGGUAGUGAUGGGUGACGGAGAAUUAGGGUUCAAUUCCGAAGAGGGAGCUUGAGAAAGACAGCAGGCGUGCAAAUUACCCAAUCCUGACACGGGGAGGUAGUGAUAAUAAAUAACAAUACUGGGCUAUUCGAAUCUGGUAAUUGGAAUGAGUACAAUCUAAAUCCCUUAACGAGGAUCCAUUGGAGGAAAAUUCUGGUGCCAGCAGCCACAAUAAUUCUAGCUCCAAUAGCGUAUAUUUAAGUUGUUGCAGUUAAAAAUCUCGUAGUUGGACUUUUGGUUGGGCCGGCCGGUCCGCCUUCUGGUGUGCACCGGUCGUCUCAUCCCUUCUGUCGGCGAUGCGCUCCUGGUCUUAACUAGCUAGGUCGUGCCUCCGGCGCUGUUACUUUGAAGAAAUUAGAGUACUCAAAGCAAGCCUACGCUCUGGAUACAUUAGCAUGGGAUAACAUUAUAAGAUUUUGGUCGUAUUAUGUUGGCCUUCGAGAUCAGAUUAAUGAUUAACAUAAACAGUCGAGGGCAUUCGUAUUUCAUAGUCAAAGAUGAAAUUCUUGGAUUUAUGAAAGACGAACAACUGUGAAAGAAUUUGCCAAGGAUGUUUUCAUUAAUCAAGAACAAAAGUUGGGGGCUUGAAGACGAUCAGAUACUGUCCUAGUCUCAACCAUAAAUGAUGCCGACCAGAGAUCGGCGGAUGUUGCUUAAAGGACUCCGCCGGUACCUUAUGAGAAAUCAAAGUCUUUAGGUUCUGGGGGGAGUAUGGUCGCAAGGCUGAAACUUAAAGGAAUUGACGAAAGAGCACCACCAGGAGUGGAACCUGCAGUUUAAUUUGACUCAACACGGGGAAACUUACUAGGUCCAGACAUAGUAAGGAUUGACAGACUGAGAGCUCUUUCUUGAUUCUAUGGGUGGUGGUGCAGGGCUGUUCUUAGUUGGUGGAGCGAUUUGUCUGGUUAAUUCUGUUAACGAACGAGACCUCAGUCUGCUAACUAGCUAUGCGGAGGUAUCCCUCCGUGGCCAGCUUCUUAGAGGGACUACGGCCUUUUAGGACGUGGAAGUUUGAGGCAAUAAUAGGUCUGUGAUGCCCUUAGAUGUUCUGGGCUGCACGCACGCUACACUGAUGUAUUGAACGAGUUUAUAGCCUUGGCCGACAGGCUCGGGUAAUCUUUGAAAUAUCAUCGUGAUGGGGAUAUAUCAUUGCAGUUAUUGGUCUUCAACGAGGAAUUCCUAGUAAGUGCGAGUCAUCAGCUCUAAGGAUCAUUUACAGAACCUUAUCAUUUACAAGAAGGAGAAGUCGUAACAAGGUUUCCGUAGGUGAACCUGCAUAAGGAUCAUUG
rnacentral:rRNA from 1 species